rnacentral:rRNA from 1 species
GAUUUUGCUCCUGGCUCAGGACGAACGCGGGGGGCGUUCUUAACACAUGCAAGUAGAACGGAAAGCCCCUUUUGGGGGGGUACGCGAGGGGCGGGGGGGUGACACACAAGGGAUUUUUCCCCCCCUCUUGGAGAGACACCGGAAAAAAUGGUUAUAACACGCUAUAUACACUCCUCGCUUAGGGUGGGGGUUGGAAAGUUUUUCGGUGCAGGAUGAGCUCGCGGCCUAUCAGCUUGUUGGUGGGGUAAUGGCUCACCAAGGCGUCGACGGGUAGCCGGCCUGAGAGGGUGACCGGCCACACUGGGACUGAGACACGGCCCAGACUCCUACGGGAGGCAGCAGUGGGGAAUAUUGCACAAUGGGCGCAAGCCUGAUGCAGCGACGCCGCGUGAGGGAUGACGGUCUUCGGGUUGUAAACCUCUUCAGUACGGGACGAAGCGAAAGUGACGUACGUGCAGAGAGGCC